rnacentral:rRNA from 1 species
GACGAACGCUGGCGGCGUGCUUAACACAUGCAAGUCGAACGGAAAGGCCCUGCUUGCAGGGUACUCGAGUGGCGAACGGGUGAGUAACACGUGGGUGAUCUGCCCUGCACUUCGGGAUAAGCCUGGGAAACUGGGUCUAAUACCGGAUAGGAGCCAUUUUUAGUGUGAUGGUUGGAAAGUUUUUUCGGUGUAGGAUGAGCUCGCGGCCUAUCAGCUUGUUGGUGGGGUAAUGGCCUACCAAGGCGGCGACGGGUAGCCGGCCUGAGAGGGUGGACGGCCACACUGGGACUGAGAUGCGGCCCAGACUCCGACGGGAGGCAGCAGGGGGGAAGCUUGCACAAUGGGCGCAAGCCGGAUGCAGCGACGCCGCGUGGGGGAGGACGGCCUUCGGGUUGUAAACUCCUUUCGCUAGGGACGAAGCUUUUUGUGACGGUACCUAGAUAAGAAGCACCGGCUAACUACGUG